CAAAACCCAAAAUUAACUCCCCUGAACCCUCUCUCUCCCCGUUCAAAAUUACCCACAAUCUACCAGUAGUUUGUGCUGUGCAAACUCCUCCGGCCGGCGACGGCGGCAUCAGCAAUUUAGAGUCGGUGACUCCUCUUCCGUCACUCCCUAAAGAUGAGUCGAUCAAGUGAAGCAGCCGCCUUGAAGCGGAAAAGACCGGAUUCAUCUACUCAGGGACUUGUAGAUG
rnacentral:misc_RNA from 1 species